rnacentral:rRNA from 1 species
CCUACGGGACGCAGCAGUAGGGAAUUUUCGUCAAUGGGCGCAAGCCUGAACGAGCAAUGCCGCGUGAACGAGGAAGGUCUUCGGAUCGUAAAGUUCUGUUGAAGGGGAAAAAGAGCGGAGAGAGGAAAUGGUCUCCGAUUGAUAUUACCCUUCGAGGAAGUCACGGCUAACUACGUGCCAGCAGCCGCGGUAAUACGUAGGUGGCGAGCGUUAUCCGGAAUGAUUGGGCGUAAAGGGAGCGUAGACGGAUAAGCAAGUCUGAUGUGAAAAUCCGGGGCCCAACCCCGGAAUUGCAUUGGAAACUG